rnacentral:rRNA from 1 species
GAGAGAGAGCGCGCGCGCUCGGCGGCGGGGGUAGGAGGCGCAGGCGGUGGCGGCGAGCAGCGAGGAGGAGGUGGGUUGGGGAUUGGGAUCGUCGAGGCGGCGGCGGCAGAUGAAGUGGGUCGGGCGGCCUGGCGGCGACGGCAGAUGAAGCGGGUCGGGCGGCCUGGCGGCUGACCUAGGUCUGAAGGUGCCCCUGCUACACAGUCCCCAGGGCGGCGACGGCGGCGCGGACGAGCCACGACACGGUGGGCAAAAGCGACGGCAGCUGCUCGAAGAGCCCGAGAAGUUCGUAAGGACGUUCCUCGAGCAGCUGGACGUAGCAGUCCAGCCAACGGCGACAACGACCACCAUCGUCGGACGCACUAACCCACACACCUACAAACAAACCACUAGCGUAUACCACUACGACCACAAAAGAAAAGAAGGAUUACACCUAUUUAACUAUGCCCGGAGGUUUUAGACUUCUUUCUUGACCGAUGCGUCCUACGGUCCGUAGCGUUCUGUGGGUCCCUCCAAUCAAUCAUAAGAACGUUCAAAAGAUUAUGCCAAUAUGGGUCCGUUUCAAAUCAUCCGGUAAGACAUCUGUUGGAUUACUUAUUAACGACUUUUCCCGUCGGGCACUACGUUCUUAGGUUUCUCUGUAUUGAUGUCGUCUUUUUUGACGUUCCGGACGUAAGAUGCACUACACUCUGCUCUCGAUCGUUGUCUACAGUCUUUGACUUAGACUAAUCAACGUAAAACGAACUUUGGGUUAGAAAACGUGUAUACGAACAAUGUUAAAAUAUUUGGACAAUGAGAAAUGACGUGAUUCUGCACUACCGAUCUAGCAGCGGUUGAGGAUGGGACUGGGGUUCCAGCGACAGUCGCAGUUAGGGUUAUGGGUCCAGCGGCGGUGGGGGUUGGAGCUGCAGGUCCAACAUCCGUCUUCCAUGUAAGCCAGCGACCAUGUAAACAACAUACUUCCAGGUUCCAAAACUUUAGAUUCUCAUUUGGUGGGCGAUGACUUUAUGCACGUUCCCAAACAAAACAAAACAAGAAUACUUUUUACCCGUAUUUCAAGUCUCUUGUAUACGUUACCAAUUCGAAAAAGAAGAACCUGUUUUUUUUACGUAGUCAUUUGAUAUAUACGAGUUUAAUACGUGGUCUAUAAGGGUCAGUGUUUAGAACCAAUACACUCGUGAGGAACGGGAUAAUAAAUUUACUUUAGUAGGACUAGAGUAAUUCGGUAGAAUGGUGCUCCGUUUUUAUAAAAAUUAAACAUCCCAAUCCCUGGGUUCUAGGAUUCGUCAUCAAAAAAAAGGACAGAGAAUGUUUUAAUACUUUUGUUUCAACCAAUGUCGUCGUUUUCUAGGUACGAAACAUAAAAUGUCACCAUUCUGGAUGUCAGUUAUUUAAGUUCACGGUGUACACCGAGUAGACGACGAUGCUAAUCUGAUGUACACAUACGAUCUCCCUUCAAGUCUUCCACAUAGGCAGGGUGUUCCUAUACGACGAUAUUAACCUGAGACUGCUAGAUACUUAUACAACGUAGGUUUAGACGUAAAUAGAGAGACGUUAUACGAGUAAACGAUAUAUCAAAACUUCAAAUGUAUAGUACAUAUAAAUAAUGGUAUAGGACGAGCUUGCAAACCCGCAAGAAGCUUCCUUAUAGAAAAAAAAGAUAACGUCGAAAGAGGACCUUUGGCAACAAUACUUGGUUAGUUGAGAAACUCUUAAUUUCAAAGCGAGCAGGAUCCUGCCGGGCCUACCGGGUUCCACUCGUCGGAAACUAUGCGGUACGUUCUGCGGAUCCACGACGGAAGGUCUAUUUAGGCCGACGGUGGCUGGCCGCACUCGAGCGAAGUCGGAGGAGGAAGCUAGAACGUCGAUGACGGAGUAGCGGUUGGGUGUUGUUCCUAAACCUUUAACGUCGAAGUUAAGAACGCUCGCGCCUCAACCUCUUCCACCCCGACGUCUCGUCUCGGUCAACGUCGUAGGUACCGGAACAACACGAAAGGUAGCUGGUACGCGGUUGCGGUUCAGGUACUAACCGCUGGAGCGACUCGUACUCCUGUUACUACCCAGGAGGAGCCGGUACCGGUUAGCACGCUCUAAGUGGUCCAACGCCCCGAACCAGUCGUCACACACACCGGUCACCAACAUCAAAUGACUUCGCCUCUCCGUCACGGCAGCAACUGGUACCUAAGUCUAGGACCCUCAAGACAGUCCUAUCCCUCCGUUUUCCUUUUACAUGUACGAGGAAUAAUGAAUAGUCUUUGUAAAGGAUGGUCAAGAAAAAAUAACACAGAGUAGACUUUACCCAUCAAGACUCAAAGUAUAGGAUUACCCAUCGUUUUGACAUGUAGAAAAUCUAGAACCAAGAUUUAAAGGUAAAAGCUCUUUACGGUAGAAAAGUAAAUAUAAAUGACAAAAUUCUUUACAAGACUUCACUGUUCUAAUAAAAAACAUACGUUAAAGGUUAUCAUCCAUAAAACAGUUAGAUAAACAUCUACGACGUAAACAGAAUGAUGGGAAAAGUGAUUAAACGAUGCAAAGGAUUUACGAAAACGAUUUACAGAAAUAGGAAGACCCUAUAUGAAUACCUUUUAUCUUUAGUAAAUUUGAUCUGUAAGAUUUAAAGUUUAAACUAUUAGGUAUAUAAACGUAUCCAUAAGGGUCCUCCACCCUUAGGGUAUCGAGAGAAUUGAAAAUAAACAAACAUUAUUACUUGCGAAUAGGAUAAACCCAUUACAAACAUAAGUAUAGAUAGUGUUUUUCUAACUACAGUUCAGAUACAACAACAAACCAAAGGGAAUCCUUGAGAUACGUAAUCUGAUGUUAUGUAUUAUCUCGCUCCCUUAGUAGAAUGGUAUCCCUCCGUCCCCUCGUAACUUUUUACGUGACAUAACCUAAGGCGUUUAGGUCACUCAUACUUACGUGGAAAAUGAUUAAUCAAACACUGUUCCUCCCCUCUAGGUACACGUACGUUCAAACGAACCAAAAACGGCUAAGUGAGCUAAUAAUUAAAACCCUGACACUGCUAAUCGUCCCCGACACCCCAGUGACCGUCUGCUACACGAACCAAGGCGUCCAGUAUAACAGUUUCACGGUCAAUUAAUGGACGGAAGUCCGAGAAGAGGAUAGUUCCCACUGCAGUGGACCCUAACGAUACCAGAAUGACUUCUUCGACUGUUGGAACCGAUAAACAGAUACUACAGCUGACUACGGUAGUUCUGGUAGCCAUUACUGUGCACACUACUACUCAGACUGAUGCGGCUUAUACUACUCAAAGGACCGAAUGAUAAGUAGACUGGUACUCCUGUUGUUAUCACCAAUGACCAAUGAUGAGUAGACUCGAAUUCACCACUUACGCCGGCUACAAAGCUGGUGUAUUCUUUUACUUCAAGCUGGCGUAUUCUUUUACUUCAAUAAAACCAAAUAGCUCAUUAUAAUACACACCAUCGUCUGAUGGUGUGGUAACAUUUAAUACACACUAACAGUGAUACUCUGUCAGGAUGUCACACCAUCAAGAUGUCUCUUAAAGAUUUAGUCAUACCAUCGUCUGAUGGGAUGGGAAUAACAUUUAAUACACACUA